rnacentral:rRNA from 1 species
UACGGAGGGUGCAAGCGUUGUUCGGAUUUACUGGGCGUAAAGCGUGCGCAGGCGGCCUCUUAAGUCAGAUGUGAAAUCCCCGGGCUUAACCUGGGAACUGCAUUCGAGAUUGCAUUGCUAGAGUAUGGGAGAGGGAAGUGGAAUUUCCGGUGUAGCGGUGAAAUGCGUAGAUAUCGGAAGGAACAUCAGUGGCGAAAGCGACUUCCUGGACCAAUACUGACGCUCAUGUGCGAAAGCGUGGGGAGCGAACAGG